GUGCUCACUCUUCGGCCCCACAUAUACUGAGUUGGAACGAUACAGAGAUGUUAGCAUGGCCCCUGCGCAGGGGUGACGGUCACAUUUGUGAAGCGUUCCAUGCUCUU
ensembl:snRNA LOC120103223 U6 spliceosomal RNA